CAUUUUGUUUUUGCUCACUUUACAAGCAAUAUUUAGACUUGGAUGAAUCGGAUGUGUUCUCUAGAUGACAAAAUGUUUUUGGUUGUCUUGUUGCUUUACCACUUAUUGGAAGGUGGAAGCAAUGUUUUUCUUUCAGUGCUGCUGCUUGGUCUUGCUCAUGGGAUUUCCAUAGAUCUUACUACAUAUAUGCUGGAUUACAGAAUGGUACCUUGAUGGUGUUUGAUAUGCGCCAAACUGUGAAGCCCGUGGAAUCCUUGAAUGGGCUGUCAUCCAACCCAAUUCAUACAAUACUGUCCUUCUCACAGAAGAAUACUAAUGGACCUAGAUCAGUCCUAAUUGCAUCUUCAAUUGGCCUGUCUCUGUGGAACGAUGACUGUCGUGAGGAAAGGUAUGAGAAGCAACUAUGUGUAGGUUACAAUUUGCGGAUGGCCAUUGGAACAGACAAAAACUCUUCAUUUGAGCAGCAUGCUUAAACUUCCAGUUGUAUUGCUUUUAUUUGAUGACUAUUACAAAUAUGUCUGAAGCUUAUAAGUUUCUCAUGGUAACACAUUGUGUAUACUCUGAGAAGUAGAAGUAAUAGACAGUAGAAACCUUUGGCCAAGAAAGCGUUGUGAAGUUUGUAUGAUUGUAGGAUGAAGGGUUUUUUAGUUUUAGGUGAGCAGCUUUGGAUUGAUUAUUUCCAUAUAUUAAUAAAAUUCAUGACUGGAAUCUCAGG